rnacentral:tRNA from 1 species
GUCUUGAUAGCUUAAUAGUGAAAGCAUUACUCUAGAGAAGUAAAGAUAAUUUUUAUUUCAAGACA